UCAUAGCUUCGGUCAGAAAUGACGAUUGA
rnacentral:sRNA from 1 species